CAAACAACCCCAAACCAAAAACAUUAUAGCUAGACAGUAGUAACAAGAGUGUAACCGCUGGAGAGCUGACAUGAGGUUUUACAGCACAACAUUUUCUCUUUUAUUUUUGUCUGUCCACAUUUUAGCACGACCAACAUCUUUUAACGUCAGCGACAACAAAAACACUUCCACUGGCUGCGAGAAUGAGUACAAUGUUAGGGUUGACAGUGGAGAAACUGUUUCUCUGGGUAACAUCAGCAACAUUCAUAUUUCUGGAACAAACCGAGGAUGCAUCGGAGGAAGGAACAACUACACUGUGACAGGAAGAAUCACAGCCAAGUCCAAUAUUGGCAAUGUGAGGAAUGUUACUGUUGGUAACAACUCAGGAUCAAUUGGUUCAGGGAACCGCAUUAACAUUAGCUGAGGAUUGGAUCACGAACCACUGAGCUAAAAAACAUGUCCUAUACAGUAUAAUUACAACACAACAAUAACAAAGGCAAAGUUCAUGACUUGAAAUCAGCAAAAAUCAUCUAGACUCAUCAACUGUUAAGAAAUAUAAAUGAAAAUAAAGUCAACAUGCCGCAUCAAAGUGUGCACUUUGCAUUAUUUUUCCAUUGUUUUUUGCAACAGGAAACACAUUACAUUUUCUCUUCAACUUCUUAAACUGAGCAUUAAGAUGGGAAAGUUCCACUAGAAGUGUGAUUAAAAGACAAAUCACACCUCAGACAUCUGAUCACAACCUAAAACAUUUCUGUUUGAGUAGGAUAUUAUAAUGCAACUACAGUAUAACCAUUUCCAGAUAGACCAUCCUGACGAUGUUACGACAGAUUGUAUCAAAGACGGAGAUCCAGGAAAAUCCAGCAAAUCCAAAAAUUUGAUUUCUAAAGACUGAAUUUGAAAUUAAUUGGCCCAAGAACACCAAUUAACUUUGUAUUCCAAACCCGACAUAACACAAAAUUACUGUUGUUUUGUUUAGGACUGAAACUGAGUGCAGAGCAUUUUGUAUCUGCAUCUGACAAUAUGUUAUUCAAAACAUACAAUAAAAAAACUUCUUUGUAUUAACUUGUCUGCUAAAGGAGUAAUGCGACAAAAAAUCAUCACGCUCCCUUUAGACUCCUUGGGCCAAAAAAACAUUGGUUAGCCAUAUUAGUAAGUUCCUCCGCCUAAGGCAUCCUGCUACAACAUGAACACACCUGCAGAAACUGUAUAAAAGCAGAGUCUUCCCUCCUAAAUACAACAAGCUCACCUCCCAGCAAAGGACCAACAACUGAAACCAGUGAUUUCAGCAGGAACAAUGUCUGAACGUUGUCACACCCCAUGCAAUUGCAGAGGAUGCGCUACACACAGUGUCUGCCAUGGACACACACACUGCACCCCAGGAUGCACUGGACCCAAAGCCUCUGUGGGCAACACCUCUGACAUCAAUGUUGGAGGCAGCAACAGUGGGAACAUUGGAUCAGGGAACAGCAUUAACAUCCAAGGAGGACUGGGACACAAUGCAAGUGUUGGUAACACCACUGGUGUUACCGCUGGUAACAACUGUGGAUCUAUUGGGUCAGGGAACAGUAUUAACAUGAAAUAAGGAAGCUGCCUUCCAACAGGUGAAGGACAACUCUUCUUAAAACGAUGAAUCAUCUGUUUUACUGUGUCAUUUAAUUGAAAUGUUCUUCACAAAGCAUUAGAUGUUGAAUUCACGAUUUAAUAUUGGUCAGCAAAAUGUGAAAGAAAUACAUGUGAAAAUAAAGUCCACAUGCAGUAUGA